GUGGGGAAUUUUGGACAAUGGGCGCAAGCCUGAUCCAGCAAUGCCGCGUGCAGGAAGAAGGCCUUCGGGUUGUAAACUGCUUUUGUCAGGGAAGAAAUCUUCUGGGCUAAUACCCCGGGAGGAUGACGGUACCUGAAGAAUAAGCACCGGCUAACUACGUGCCAGCAGCCGCGGUAAUACGUAGGGUGCGAGCGUUAAUCGGAAUUACUGGGCGUAAAGCGUGCGCAGGCGGUUAUGUAAGACAGAUGUGAAAUCCCCGGGCUCAACCUGGGAACUGCAUUUGUGACUGCAUGACUGGAGUGCGGCAGAGGGGGAUGGAAUUCCGCGUGUAGCAGUGAAAUGCGUAGAUAUGCGGAGGAACACCGAUGGCGAAGGCAAUCCCCUGGGCCUGCACUGACGCUCAUGCACGAAAGCGUGGGGAGCAAACAGGAUUAGAAACCCUAGUAGUCC
rnacentral:rRNA from 1 species